rnacentral:tmRNA from 1 species
GGGGAUGUUCCGGAUUUGAUUGGCAGGCAAGGCCACAGUAAGCAUACCGAAGUUUCCCGCGGCUUCGUUAAAACGGGAAUCUAAAUUUAAACGCUAACAAUAACAAAUUAGCAGUUGCCGCUUAACUAAGCGGUUGUCCGAUAUAAAAACGCCGUCGGUUUAUAAAGGGCAUAAUUUAAGACGGAACGUUACGUUAAAGUCUGACCGUGCUUUUACGCAACUAUCUUCGGUCAAAUGCGCGGCGGGUUGGUCCGCAAUGGCACCGCGCAAGAUUGUAAAAGCGGAAUAAGUAUGUAGAAAGCUUGGUUGAACUUGUUAAGACGUGAGUUCGACUCUCACCAUCUCCACCA